UUGGCGAAGCUGAGGAAACUGAAGUACUCUCUUUAUUCACUGUAAGCCCCUCCAUUGUGUCCGCUCUGCCCUUGAGGGACUGCCCUCUCCNGAGUUAAUAGGUCAUUCGGUUUACAUGCUAUCCCAGUCCAGAGAGCCU
rnacentral:sRNA from 1 species